rnacentral:lncRNA from 1 species
GUCUAAACAUAGAAAGGUCUACAACAUUUUAAUGUCUGAAACAAAGGACCGACAGAUUCCUUGAUAUCCAUCAAGUACAACAAAAAUUUAAGUUUGCAUGCAUGUGACAGGGUUUGGUGUAUCGAAAUGGAUGAUUCCAUACCCUACAAUGUAGUCUCUAUGGUUACAGAAAAUUAAACAGGAAAUAUAGACACAAGAGUCAGCUUAAGAGUAACGAAAUGAUUAUAUCAUUUUUAGCAGAAGUAAACAUAUCCCGAACAAGAGUUGGCCUGUGGCUAGUCUACAGGUAAGUUUUGAAGUCCAUCGGGAUUCCCUACAUGUAGGUUCAGAAUCUCUAACAGGGCAUCUACCUCAGGACUCCUAUGACUGAAAUGCAUGACUACCACAGUUACAACAUCAAAGUAUUGAACAAUGGCCACAGUUAUGUGCGUCCAAUUAGUUCAUGUGCAAUGGCUCUGCAAUCGUGCGGACAGUAUGAACACUCGUUGCCUAUAUUAACCCGAUCAUUUGAUGAGUCGUGUCUCAAAUGAAAGUCCAAUCAAGUUGACCUAGAUGUGACACAGGCAACAAAAUGCAUAUCACAGAACUCCAAGCACUAACAGCAGUAGUAGUUGAUACAACUCUAGAUAUGAAAAUAAAGAUGGCAUCACAAAAAAAAAACAUAUACACAGCUUCCAAAACGGUAGCUGAUAAAAUUUUAAAACCUAAUCAUCCAAAUUGGAAACUAUUAGGCUAUUACAGUUCUAACAACCGUCGGAUGCACAUCACUAAUAUAUCAAGGUUCCAUGAGCAUGUGGCCGACACAUAAAAAAUGCAGGACUAGUUACAAGUUAAGCACAGUAAAAUUUUGUUCCUAUAAAUGUGACAUUUAACAUUUUCUCGUCUAAACAUAGAACAGUCUGCAUCAUUUUAAUGUCUGAAACAACGAACCAACAGAUCAUUUCAUGUUCAUUAAGUACAACAACUGGAAGUAUUUCAUCAAGCUAAGAACAAAGUACGAUGUAAAUAAAAUGUAUGGAGAUAUGAAUUCCUCUUCAGGCAGUGAUGGGUGUCCCAGAUCAAUGGAAAAUCAUUAGUUGAGCGCAUUUAGUCACGCACCAGUCUGGG